UGCGGAGGGAUCAUUACCGAGUUAUCCAACUCCCAACCCCUGUGAAUUAUACCUUUAAUUGUUGCUUCGGCGGGACUUCGCGCCCGCCGGGGACCCAAACCUUCUGAAUUUUUUAAUAAGUAUCUUCUGAGUGGUUAAAAAAAAUGAAUCAAAACUUUCAACAACGGAUCUCUUGGUUCUGGCAUCGAUGAAGAACGCAGCGAAAUGCGAUAAGUAAUGUGAAUUGCAGAAUUCAGUGAAUCAUCGAAUCUUUGAACGCACAUUGCGCCCGUCAGUAUUCUGGCGGGCAUGCCUGUUCGAGCGUCAUUACGCCCCUCAAGUCCCCUGUGGACUUGGUGUUGGGGAUCGGCGAGGCUGGUUUUCCAGCACAGCCGUCCCUUAAAUUAAUUGGCGGUCUCGCCGUGGCCCUCCUCUGCGCAGUAGUAAAACACUCGCAACAGGAGCCCGGCGCGGUCCACUGCCGUAAAACCCCCCAACUUUUUAUAGUUGACCUCGAAUCAGGUAGGACUACCCGCUGAACUUAAGCAUAUCAAUAAGCGGGAGGA
rnacentral:rRNA from 1 species